UUCGGAACAGCAGUUGUAACCUUUGUCGAAGCCGUACCCGCGUUGCUGUGCGUGGAUGAAUAAUCGCUUUUACAAAUCACUUCCCUUCCUAGAAAGUAAAUUACUGCAACUCUGGUGUCACCACAAAGAUGUGUAGGCAGUGUUGCUGAAUGAUUGAGUGGAAACCGCUGUCUGGAAAAUCUUUUUAAUGAACCUAACACACCUGAAAACUACUGAAGUGUGUUUCAGUUUGCAUCAUUUUACUUACCUUUCACACUCACUGAAGUGCAAUUUCUGUAAGAAAUUCUUUGCUCUCUCAGUGUUGCCAAUUAGUUAAGAAGUAGAAAUUGA